UUGCCGUGCCAAUCAGGACACAGCAGCAGCUGCAAGAAAUUCAAAUCUCGGUUUCCAGUGGUCCGGGCUCUAGCUUCCAUGCUGAGACCUUAUCGGUUCCUGUUAUAUCACCGGGAUUGUGUUUCCAGUUGGGUUCUCUUAGUUUAGUCCGUUCCUGGGUUGGCAAAGUAUAUCUCCUCUUGCUUAGGACUUCUCGCCUGGCACCUUUCCUGGAUUUUAAGUGUGGUUUCUCAGAGAGCCUCUGAAGCUGCUGCUAUCUAUCUGCCAUGUUCUCCCAGAAGUCAGGAAAAACUUCUUAACAAGGUGAUGUCUGAUUUGGGAUUUGGACAGUGAACUGGGUUCUGAUCAGUGGAAGAGGGUAAACAAGAAUCACAGGUGGAAGGGACAGUGCGUGUACAGGAUACAGACAGGGACACACACAGCGUGUCUCAGUAAGCAGGGGACGAAGAACAGUCCAGUUAGGUCUGGUUAGGUCCAGUGAGAUCCGGUUAGGUCAGGCAAGGACCAGGCUGGGAUGGCCCUGGAAAGUCAUGUUGGGAAGUCAGUUUGGGCAGAGUUGACUCUGAGAUGUUUAACUAAUGUUCUCCAGCAGCUGGCAGGCAGGAAGUCAGACUCUGAGCCCCAUGUAUCCUUCAGAACUUGGGACAAUGGGAAAAGAUAAGGAAAAGAGUCAGUAUGAGAAGAGCCAGGGAGGAAGCCGAGGCCACUGCUUCUGGGGUGCAGGAAAGGAGAGACAGAAAAAGCAGUCUGCAGGGGACCAGCAAGUGACCAGAUAGGUAGGAAGAGGCUUGGCAACAGCAGUGGUCAGGACAGGACAAGAGUCCUAAGUACCUCAGUUUACUUCCUUGAGGGUCAAAAGUAUUCUUGCAAAUGGCCUACUGUGUCCCCGGAGCUCCUGUUAAAGAAGCCAAGUGUCUGGAGUGAUGCAGUCUCACUUGCACCAGUCAGUAGCCUCCCUUCCUCUUGGUCUGCAGCUCGGGGCAGUGCUGGGGUGCACUGCACAGAACCUGCUUCAGGACAGGGGCACCCAUGAUUCAACAGCUCCGCCUGGGGGUUGAUGAUGGCUCACACGGCUGAGUUCCUCCCAGGGUCAGGCGAUCACCCAGGAUCACAUGGUUCAUCACCUCCCUCCAGUGGUAACCCAUGCAAAAGGGCUGAACGGGCUGGCCCCUCACCGCUAAGUGAGACAAUGCACAGGGUGUCCACAGCUCUGGACUCUCCAUGGGGUUGGCCAGGGUCUCUGAUGCCAUUUCCCAGCAGCACAGCUCUCUCUCUACCCCAUCCUCCUUUCUUUACUUCUUGACAGGUCUUGUUCCUGAAAUUACCUUCAGAAUCCUUCUGCUUCUAAAUCUCUAACUCAGACACUGCGUCCUGGGGAAUCCCAUUGAGUACAGCUGGUCCCCCACGGUGCUAUCCAGGACAGUCCAUGGCCGACUAGUGAUGGGGUUCUCUCUCUGGCAGUUGGUGGAAGACAGCAGUGUGGGCCACCACAGCUGAGCCACAGUUAAUGACUCUUUGGGUGAAUGGGGCUGGAGCACUCAUGGAAGGGUGUGGUAUAAUAACCUGGGUCCCUGAAAUGCCUGGAGGAGGCAGUAAUGAUUGGGACCACGGAACUGCAUGGCUCUCCUAUGCUGUCUCCUAUGCUGGAGAAAGAAUAAUGUGAGGCAGAAAGUCAUCAGCCUCCCAAAGACAAAAUGUGACAGUUGGAGACCUCCUUGGUGGUUCAUGCGUAGACUCAGUCUUGCAGCCACGGAGGGGAGGCCAAGAGCUGAAAGGGAAGGAAAGGGCAGAGGAGAGCAGGAUGUGGAGAGCAUUGAGGUACGCUGUGUCCAUGGACCAUCACCCCACAAUGCAUGUCACAGACAAGAGCUAAAAACUAAGUAAAAAUGCAGGAAGCGAACCUAGAGUUGGAGGGAGGAGAGAAGGGAAAUAGAAAGAGUUAAAAUAUGUGACAUACACAUACCCACAUCCUAAGAGGAACCUAAACAUUGUUGCCUGCGGACAGGUAAUAGUAAAAUUAAUACAAACAAAGCCGGCAGCCAGAUGGCAACAAAAGUUGAAAAUCAGGCCCAAGAUGAUAGUGGCAGCAAAGCUCUGCAGAAGAGUGGAUUCUCAGCCACCCAUGUCUGUGUGUGACAUCGAGAUCAGGGUCUUGACUGGGGUGGAGCGGAUCCCAGAAACUCUAGGUGGGGAAAUCUGAACGGAUAACUCCAUUUCCCCAGAUUCCCCUGGACCCUCUGAGCCAGAGAGGGGUCCAAGGCCAAAGAUCACACUGUGCUUGAAGGUGAUGUAUGGCAACAUGCACACUCUCCAUCACCUGCCCUUGGCUCCCCACCUGGUCAGAAUCCCUAGGGUCAGAGAAUAGAGGACCCAGCACCUCCCUCACCUGCCAGGGCAGGAAACUCAUUGGCCACUUGUUAAAGAAGCUGCAGGAUCUGGCCAAUGAGUACUGGCACAAGCCAGGACAAUCUGUGUAACAGUGGAGCUGAAGGAUGCUGGAAUGAUGAGAGAGAAAUAGUAAGGUUGGAUAAAGAGGAAUUUAUGAAUGGGGGAGCAUUCUCCUAUAACACAGGAUUCUACACUCUGGCAAACGGUGUUACCUUGCUGUUGGGAUGGUUUUGAGGAAGCUUGGAAAGUGCAAUGGAAAGACAGACCACUCUGGAAGACAGUGAAGGAUUAAAGGACUCAGGUAAGUGUGCUUUAUUUCUAGAGGGUGAGACCACCUGGUGCCUGGUUCCAGAUGACAUCCUAUCAAACCGAUGCAAAUGCACUGGUGGAAAAGGUGCCCAACUUACCGAGAAACUCAGCGGUGAAUCUUCAGUGGGCUGGGGUCACAGAUCUAUGAUAUGCCAGGAAGUCACUGGAGAUAACAGGCUCCUAAAGUAGCAGAGAUCACCUAGUAGUCCGCAAACCAUUGGAAGCACAGUGGGUGGAGUUAUCGUAGUAAGCAGCAAGCCCAGUGUUUGCCUCAGGGGAGUCUGACACACAGAGAGCUCCAGGCCGUCAAGAGUUUAGGGUGGAUGGGUAACUAGUGCGGAUUUGACAAGCACCCUGAGAUUGUAGUAAUGUGUUACCAGUUCUGCCACGGGGCACAAAGCAAGGAGCACCUCGAUGUCUCCUUCGGGUUCCCAUCCAGUCUCCCAGCCUCUGGUCUCUGCCUGCGCUGGCCAAACUCAGCUGAAGCCAGUGGGCACAGGAGACGGGGACAGGCCCGUGGUGGCAGACAGGAGGGUGAGGAAAGGUGAGGAUGGGACUGAGGACGAUCAGGACCGAAAGUCCUGCAGUAGUCAACAGCAGGGAUUAGUUCUAUUGAGUUCACAAUGAGACACAGAUGGGUUACACUCAUCUAUUUACUAAUGCUUCCCCCUCCCGCUAGCACACAUAACAGAGUUCUGAAACCCAAGAGGGAAAAAUGACAUUUUGGAAUCUUUAGCUAUUAAUAAAAAUUAAUACAGAUAUUUCCACCUAGGAAAUUAAUAAAUGGUUUCUUUAAAAUAACAUGAACUGGGUGGUGAUGCGUACCUGCAAUCCCAGCACUUGGGAGGCUAAGGCAGUAGGAUUGCCACAAGUUCGAGGCCAGCCUGGGCUACAGAGUGAGUUCAAGGCCAGUCUGAAUUACACAGCUAGACCCUGUCUUAAAAAAAGCAGGUAUCUCAACUUACAUCUUACCAAAGUGGGUAGUAAACGAGCAUAGGAAAAGGUACUCAAUCACAUGUCAUUAAAAAAUUAAAAUUAGGACAACAGUGAGGUCCAGCUGCUGGAUGUCUCAGUGUUCAGUGGUUCUGGGCUCUUUCUGCCCCACCCAAAGAACUGGCUGGGAAAUUGAUAAAACAGGUAAACAUAGCUUUCAUUUAAAGUAUAGGAAGAAAAGGAAAGAGUUAAGAAAAGAGAAGAACCAGAAAAAACCCGCAAGGAGGAGCCAAAUGUAAACUAUGGAUCCUGGUCGAUAACGAUAAAUUGAUACAGGUUCACUCUGUGUAACAAAUACAGCCUCCAGCGAGGCAGGUGGAUGGUGCAGAGACACCCACACAUAUGGGUGGGACAUAUGGGAACUCUCAGCUUUCUGUUCCAUUUACGGGGAACCUAAAAUUGCUCCUAAAAGUCUGUUCAAAGUUUUAUCAUCUGCAUUUGCUCGGGUUGUUUCAAGAGGGAAAGUUCUCAUUUCGGGCCGGUGAGAAUCACCAGUGCCACUCACAUCCUAGGGCUCCUCCUUCCUGAUCAGAUGCUGGGGUGACGGUCCCCAAGCCCUGGCUGGGAGCGGACAAUGAAAUGUGACUCAUGUCACUUCUGCUACAAGUCUUCCAGGGCCAGUGUGGAACCUGCCGGGUUUCUUCUUCGCACAGAAAUGACAAGAGCGGUCCUUUAGAGGAAAGGUCGGGGAGGGCCUUUGGGAUCAGGGCCCUUCCUAGAGUGGCUGUGUCCCAGGCUGGUCUUGAACUUGCGACGACCCUCCUGCCUCAGCCUCCCGAGUGCUGGGAUUACAGGCUUGGUCUCCAGGUGGGUGCUACUGGAGGACAGUGGGGUCUGUAGGGGAUGGCCAGUGGAUGUCACAGAGCCUUGAGGCCAGUUCUCAUAAACUGGACGGUGUUGUUCCAGAGAGGUAAGUUAGUAAAUUAUAAAUUUAUGUUGUUUCAAUUUACCAAGUUUGUAAUUUGGCACCAGAGUCACAAAAAAUUAACACAACAUCAUUAUGGACUUUAUAGUGCUCCAGAUUGGUUCUACAUAAUUGCAUUUUUUUUUUCUUUUUGAGCAGGGUCUUGCUAUGUAGUUCAGGCUGGCUUUGAGCUCACUAUGUAGUCUAGACUGGGCUGGAACUCAUGACAAUCAUCCUGCCUUAGCCUCCCAAGUGCUGGGAUCACAGGUAUGCACCACCAUGCCUGGCAUAAUUUGGUACUUUAUGUCAUGCUUACUAAUUGGGUAUGAAUAAAUGGUGUAUUACAAAUUCUUGGCAGAUAGGAACUGGAAGUUGUUUUCACUCCUUCCCUCCCCCUAUUCUUUUUUUUUUGGUCUUUUUGAGACAGGGUCUCUCUAUGCAGUUCAGGCUGGCCUUGAGUUCACUUUGAAGCCCAGGCUGGUCUCAAACUCGAAACGAUUUCCACCUGCCUCAGCUUC